GACUCUCAUUCCGUCUCGUUACCUUGUGUCUGUACACCUCUUCAUGUGUGAACUCUCAAAUACCGAGGAGUUCUUCUCAAAGGUUUGACAGACCCGGGUUAAACUGAUUUAUGCCACUCUGAUGCUUGCUUGGCUAAAAUACCUAGAGAAGACCAUCAUACCUGCCCUGACAGACCGUGCACUAAACCUAAAUCAAAAGAGACUGUUCCUUGCCUCUCCUUUUCCUAUAACAAAUCGCAAACCGUUUCCAUUUGUCCGUAGCCAGCACGCUGUUCCCCUUAAUGCGCUAAGCUUCCCAACAUGAUGUUUAGCACAUGUUCUUUCGCACUGCCCCCCUCCGCUCAAAGGCAGCCUUAUAGUUUGCAAAUGGGAUGAAACCACUGUGCGGGCCAGUGUCUUGGCUCCGCUCCCGCCGCACUGCGCGGAUGCCAGAACCUUUUCUGUACCUUCCAAGUCAUUAUGUAUGUUCAAAAGCCUGCCAGAAAGGCUAGGAGGAUAAAAGCGACCAAAAAAAUACAAAAAAAUUAUCCCUAAUGCACGUAAAGGAGAAGCUCUGUCAGCGAGGCGCGUCCUCCCUGGGAGCGCUACCUGCAGGGCCCUCGCCCACGGCUGGCCUUCACGAGGUGGGUCUCCCCGUGCCUCGGCCUUCUGGGGAACAAAAGGCGUGCUGGCCCGGGGAGGAGACAUCCAUCCUCCCGUGGGUUUGUCUGGGAUGGCUGCCACGAUCAACAAACACGCAUCACUUGUGAGAACCUCAGAGGGAUCUGUUGGGGCAAGGCAACACAGAAAGGACAGAGCAAAUCCACGUUUUGUUUGUUUGCUGUUUGAAAUGCAUGCCUGGGAGGAAGGCAUUGUUCUGCCAGCUCUGAAGGACAGAAAUACACCACAACCUUCAGCAGCGCCGAGGGUGAGCCCUCAGUGUUAGCAUUCAGGGGCCGCAUCGUGGACGCCGUUACAUUGUGCGGCAUGGGACAUGCUUCCCAGACUCAAAUAUAAAUAGUUUUUUUUUUUUUUUUCUUUUU